AGAAUUUCUUGAGUUUGGAGCUCACUGCUUAUACUAUGAAUCACCUAAUAAGUCGUAAGUUUUUCUUAUAGGUCGUAGGGCUUGAGUCAUAUAGUGACCAGUGAGGGUUGCCCAUGUUUUUGUUGUGAAUAUGACUGAGAUGUCACAAGUUGUAAUGACUCUUUGUGAGUCGUAGGAUGCUUUCCGUAGUCAAACCAGUGUUGGUGCCUAAGUCACUGUUGUGGUUAUGACUAGGAC
rnacentral:lncRNA from 1 species